CAUAUUGCUAUUAACAUUAAUCUGGUAAUAUUUGACAUAAUGAUAAAACUCUACAACACUUGGGAUUAAGGCUCCUGACCCUAGUGUGCUGUUAGUGGUUGUCAUCCCAUAUUACUCAGUAGCCACGCAGAUCCUUCACAUUUCCACAGAUCUCACACCUGCAGCUUUUAGUGUGCUUUAACUUUAAAGGUCCUCUGAUGCAGGUCAUAACUUGCCCCCAUCAUUCUUCCAAC